rnacentral:pre_miRNA from 1 species
UGUUAAAAAUCUUAUUCAUUUCUACUAUUAAAAACUAACAUGACUGACAAAAAAAUUAUACAGUUACAUGUGACAUGCCAUGUGUAUCUAAUUCUGACAUAUAGGGACCAGUUUUUAACGAUGAAAAUGGAUGAAAUUUUAAUA